rnacentral:tRNA from 1 species
AAUAGUAAACUAACAUGAUAUUUCAUACAUAACCUGACAGGUGAUUGUCAGGUUUUUUUGUGUGGAGAAACGGGAU